CCAGGCUCGCCAAAGGCGCUCAUGGUUCCUCGGAAGCUACUUCAGGCACUGGUGGCUUGCCUCGCUCUGGGGACAGAGAACCUGGUUCUCGUGCCUAGUCACUCCUCAUGGGUUCAUUCAUUCAUUCAUUCGUUUAUCACGCUGUCCCUCCACCCUACUGUCUGUUCGCUCAGUGCUGGCUGAGUGCCAGCACUGGGGUUCCAGAGCUGAGCGAAUUUUCAGCCCCAUUCUCAGGAGCCACCGCAGUUCUCCAGAAGAAUUUCUUGGCUACCACCACAAGCAGGUGCCACGCUGAGCCACCGCAUCUGCAAGUCAUGAGCCCCUUGGAAUGCUGUUUCUUUAUCGUUUUCAUUUGUGCUCAUCAGGCAGCAUCUUGGGCUGCUGUCAGAGAUCUGAGCUGGGCUCCAGGCGACGCUUUGUUCUCUCACUGCCUGAGCCCCUUUCAUUUUGACACUCUGUCCUGGUGGCAGGCACAGGGGACCAAUUUCUACCCAUCACCUGUGUGUCAGCUGCCGGCGCCUGGGAGCGCUUCCAACUGGCUUAUUUGCGGUGAUCGCUGUCACCUCGGGGGGUCAGGGCCCUCAUUUGGAACAUGCUUUUUUCGUCAACGGCAUCCCUUGACUUUCUAGUGUGGCACAGACUUACCCACUCUCUACUGUGCCCAGUAAUAUUCCAAGAAUUUGCGGAAACCCAUGGUGAGCUUCCUCCAUGUUCUUCCAUCAACAAAGAAGCAUACUCCUAACAACCAGGCAGCAGCAUCCUGGCCCUGGGAGCUGGCCUGUCACAGCCUGUGGCAUGGGGUGAACACGGUGCCCAGCUGACUUCAGUAAGGGAGGGUGAGAGCAAACAGGUGGUGUAGACAUACUCUCCCUGUGAAGAGGAGGUAAAAUCUGAAGCCGACCUAACUCACUCUUUUCUAGUUAAACUGCUUUAUCUGGUUAGAAUAUUUAUAGUAGCUUUUUCAUGAGUCUUAAACUUUAGAAAUUUUACAUGUUAUGUGCAGAUGUGUGGCCCUUCGUGAGUCUCCCAUGGUAAUUGUUGAUGUUUCUUGAGAUGAGUAAAAGCUAUUAUUUAUCAUGCGCUUAAUACAAGCCAGGCAGAGUGCUGAGGACUCCAUUACCUCCUUCCAUCCCCAGAGGUGCUGACAAGCAGCCCCGUAAUUUAUUUGUGAAAAUGGCGACCUGCAGGUGGUGAGCUCACCUGGACCCGGGCUGAGUGGGAGGCAGGGCUGGUAUCUAGACUCCGGGGACUGCGACUCCAAAGUCCUCGCCUCUCACCGUUUCGUUCUAGGAGCACACAGACGUUUUAUUUUAGUUUACAUUUUAUUUCUAUUGCUCUCUUCAUCCAUUUUAUCAGCAGUCCAGGGAGAAAUUCUCCAGCUGGUCGUCAAAUUCACUCAUGAGAUUUUCCCCAGUGUUCGUUUCAGCUCUCGCCA
rnacentral:lncRNA from 1 species